GGAAAUGAUUCCUAGGGUUCCGAUUUCUUCAGCUUCUUUGCUGGUGGAAUGUCUGGUCCGAGAGGAACACACUGAAGUGAUUCAGUGGCACGGAGGGACAAAAGCCCGGGAGAC
rnacentral:sRNA from 2 species